rnacentral:rRNA from 1 species
CGUAACAAGGUUUCCGUAGGUGAACCUGCGGAAGGAUCAUUACCUAGAGUCUGUGCACUUCGGUCUGCUACCUCUUACCCAUGUCUUUUGAGUACCUUCGUUUCCUCGGCGGGUCCGCCCGCCGGUUGGACAACAUUCAAACCCUUUGCAGUUGCAAUCAGCGUCUGAAAAAACUUAAUAGUUACAACUUUCAACAACGGAUCUCUUGGUUCUGGCAUCGAUGAAGAACGCAGCGAAAUGCGAUAAGUAGUGUGAAUUGCAAAAUUCAGUGAAUCAUCGAAUCUUUGAACGCACAUUGCGCCCCUUGGUAUUCCAUGGGGCAUGCCUGUUCGAGCGUCAUUUGUACCUUCAAGCUCUGCUUGGUGUUGGGUGUUUUGUCUCGCCUCCGCGCGCAGACUCGCCUUAAAACAAUUGGCAGCCGGCGUAUUGAUUUCGGAGCGCAGUACAUCUCGCGCUUUGCACUCAUAACGACGACGUCCAAAAGUACAUUUUUACACUCUUGACCUCGGAUCAGGUAGGGAUACCCGCUGAACUUAAGCAUAUCA